rnacentral:rRNA from 1 species
UACGAAGGGUGCAAGCGUUGCUCGGAAUUAUUGGGCGUAAAGGGUAGGUAGGUGGUUACGUAUGUCUGGGGUGAAAUCCCUGAGCUCAACUCAGGAAGUGCCUUGGAAACGGCGUAACUAGAGUAUUGGAGAGGUUCGUGGAAUUCCCAGUGUAGCGGUGAAAUGCGUAGAGAUUGGGAGGAACACCGACGGCGUAGGCAGCGCCGUGGCUGUGAAUAAAGCUGACACUGAGGCACGAAAGCUGGGGGAGCAAACAGG